AUUGAACGCUGGCGGCAGGCCUAACACAUGCAAGUCGAGCGAGCGGCGGACGGGUGAGUAAUGUCUGGGGACUGCCCGAUCGAGGGGGAUAACUACUGGAAACGGUAGCUAAUACCACAUACCAUAGGAUAACCCAUAUGGGAUUAGCUAGUAGGUGAGGUAAUGGCUCACCUAGGCGACGAUCCCUAGCUGGUCUGAGAGGAUGAUCAGCCACACUGGGACUGAGACACGGCCCAGACUCCUACGGAGGCAGCAGUGGGGAAUAUUGCACAAUGGGCGCAAGCCGGAUGCAGCCAUGCCGCGUGUAUGAAGAAGGCCUUAGGGUUGUAAAGUACUUUCAGUCGGGAGGCGUUACCGACAGAAGAAGCACCGGCUAACUCCGUGCCAGCAGCCGCGGUAAUUC
rnacentral:rRNA from 1 species